rnacentral:lncRNA from 10 species
GUGCAAUGGCUAGUACUAUGUGUCAACUUGUCUAGGCUAUACUGCUCAGCUGUGUGGUCAAACAGUAGUCUAGAUGUUGCUGUGAAGGUAUUUUGUAGAUGUGAUCAACAUUUACAAUCAGUUGAUUUUAAGUAAAGCAGUUUAACUUCCAUAAUGUGGAUGGGCCUCAUCCAAUUAGUUGAAGGUGUUAAGAGAAAAGACCAAGGUUUCCUGGAAAAGGAAUUCUACCACAAGACUAACAUAAAAAUGCGCUGUGAGUUUCUAGCCUGCUGGCCUGCCUUCACUGUCCUGGGGGAGGCUUGGAGAGACCAGGUGGACUGGAGUAGACUGUUGAGAGACACUGGUCUGGUGAAGAUGUCCAGGAAACCACGAGCCUCCAGCCCAUUGUCCAACAACCACCCACCAACACCAAAGAGGCGAGGAAGUGGAAGGCAUCCUCUCAACCCUGGCCCAGAAGCCCUAUCAAAGUUCCCAAGACAACCCGGAAGGGAAAAGGGACCCAUCAAGGAAGUUCCAGGAACAAAAGGCUCUCCCUAAAAGACCGCCGCUUCAAAAAAACCUGAGGAAUGGAGUGGGCCAACACUAUCCAGCCACUCUGACCAGCCGAACGAGGAACUCAAUCAAAAUGAGCCAUAGCGGGACCACAAGGGCAAGGAGACCACCACCUUCUCCAGUCUCUCUUCGGACAGCCAGUAAUUCCCGGGCAAGGCCAGAGACUUCAAGUCUAUCUGAAAAGUCUCCAGAGGUCUAACCCCAGAUAAAUAGCCAACAGGGUGUAGAGUACAUUUUACACCCCAAAGAGUGUGCCCCAUGGUGAUGAAAAUAAAGUGAACAUGUUGCAAAAUGA